UACAGAGGGGGCAAGCGUUGUCCGGAAUUACUGGGCGUAAAGGGCGCGUAGGCGGCCCUCUAAGUCAGACGUGAAAUCCCUCGGCUCAACCGGGGAACUGCGUCUGAGACUGGAAGGCUUGAAUUCGGGAGAGGGAUGUGGAAUUCCAGGUGUAGCGGUGAAAUGCGUAGAUAUCUGGAGGAACACCGGUGGCGAAGGCGGCAUCCUGGACCGAGAUUGACGCUGAUGCGCGAAAGCCAGGGGAGCAAACGGG
rnacentral:rRNA from 1 species